GAUGAAAACACACCAGAAGAACCAAAACACGUCUCAUAUCUGGUUUGGAUUCAACAGGAGACGAUGUUGCUCUGCUGGGACUCUCAGGGGAGUUUGCGUCAACACUGGAGGCCUGUUUUCAGCUCCGUGCCGCCUAACACUGAUGCAGUUCUCCACAGUGACACCUUGGACCUGCCCAGAACAACCACAGCCUUCAAGGUCACCUCCGCACGAGCUGCUGUCAUCCCUCCCAUCCCUCAGCUCCCAGUCGGGAAGAUUUUCAGACAUCCGCAAGACAACGACAUUUUAAAAUGUAUUCCGAUCAAUGCAAAAGUGACCAAACUUCUCCAGGCUUGUGUUGUGAAGGACACAAGACUCCACGGGCCGUAGUGAAAUGUGUAGAGGAUGGAGGUGGAAGGGUUUAUCUGCUAAAUCCCAGCAAAUGGCUCCGCUAUCGUGGACAAUGACUCUAAAUAAUGUCAACAGCUCAUUCCCACCAGAGCUGGGGUUAUGUGUGUGUGUGUGUGUGUGUGUGUGUGUGUGUGUGUGUGUGUGUGUGUGUGUGUGUGUGUGUGUGUGUGUGUGUGUGUGUGAGAUGGGGAGUUGUAUAUAAGCUGCAGCUCAGAAGCAGGUUGAUGUGAUACGAGGCCGUGUCUUCACAUCAGACAAAGCAGCAGCUCGAGGUUUUUGGCCGAGAAGAUUUUGAAGAUGCUGAGUCGACGGUAACGCUGUGACACGCACCACAUGUACCGCUGUUUAACAUUUAUUCUCAAUUUCUUCUGUUCAGAAAUUCACUUGCACACUUCCACUAAAGGACAUUGGGAGAAGAGGGGACUUCGAAGGGUUUAGAUUAAUUUUGUUAUCGCAGAAGAGAAACCAAAUAACACAUUAUUCAUCGGAUGCCAUCGUUGGGAAUUACAAGCAUGUAGAUUCUUAUUAAUGUCAUCAUCCUUGUGCUUCCUGUCACAGACAGAAAUGCAAACACUAGAAAUGAUUAGUCAACUAAUCCUGUAGUCGAUUGGCAGGAAAUUAAUCGGCAAAUAUUUUGAUAAGUUUGUUUAGUCAUUCUCUCUUUCCUGUCUUACAUCAUAUUAAACGGAGUAUCUUUGAGUUCUGGAGUGUUUUCUAUCAUUUUAUAGACCAAAUCUUUAACUAAUAGUGGAAAAAAACGUUGAUUAAUCGAUUAUGAAAGUAUUGAAGAUGAAGUUCUGCUUGAAAUGGAUGUUUGUGAAGUUUCACUCUGUAAAUGUGGAAUAAAAUACUGAAAAUGUUAGUUGCUGCC
rnacentral:lncRNA from 1 species